GUUAAUGUAGCUUAAUUAUUUAAAGGAAGACACUGAAAAUGUCUAGAUGGGUUUGCACAACCCCAUAAACA
rnacentral:tRNA from 2 species